rnacentral:rRNA from 1 species
AGAGUUUGAUUAUGGCUCAAGAUGAACGCUGGCGGCGUGCCUAACACAUGCAAGUCGAACGGAUCCAUAUUGAAACCUAGUGAUGUAUGGAUUAGUGGCGGACGGGUGAGUAACGCGUGGAUAACCUGCCGUAUACAGGGGGAUAACACUUAGAAAUAGGUGCUAAUACCGCAUAAGCGCACGGUUCCGCAUGGAACAGUGUGAAAAACUCCGGUGGUAUACGAUGGAUCCGCGUCUGAUUAGCCAGUUGGCGGGGUAACGGCCCACCAAAGCGACGAUCAGUAGCCGGCCUGAGAGGGUGAACGGCCACAUUGGGACUGAGACACGGCCCAAACUCCUACGGGAGGCAGCAGUGGGGAAUAUUGCACAAUGGGGGAAACCCUGAUGCAGCGACGCCGCGUGAGUGAAGAAGUAUUUCGGUACGUAAAGCUCUAUCAGCAGGGAAGAAAAUGACGGUACCUGACUAAGAAGCCCCGGCUAACUACGUGCCAGCAGCCGCGGUAAUACGUAGGGGGCAAGCGUUAUCCGGAUUUACUGGGUGUAAAGGGAGCGU